UACGUAGGGGGCAAGCGUUGUCCGGAAUCAUUGGGCGUAAAGAGCGCGUAGGCGGUCCGAUAAGUCGGCUGUGAAAGUCAGGGGCUCAACCCUUGAAAGCCGGCCGAUACUGUCGGACUAGAGUUCGGAAGAGGCGAGUGGAAUUCCCGGUGUAGCGGUGAAAUGCGCAGAUAUCGGGAGGAACACCAAUGGCGAAGGCAGCUCGCUGGGACGUGACUGACGCUGCGGCGCGAAAGCGUGGGGAGCAAACAGG
rnacentral:rRNA from 1 species